GACGAACGCUGGCGGCGUGCCUAAUACAUGCAAGUCGAGCGGACCGGAUUGGGGCUUGCCUUGAUUCGGUCAGCGGCGGACGGGUGAGUAACACGUGGGCAACCUGCCCGCAAGACCGGGAUAACUCCGGGAAACCGGAGCUAAUACCGGAUAACACCGAAGACCGCAUGGUCUUCGGUUGAAAGGCGGCCUUUGGGCUGUCACUUGCGGAUGGGCCCGCGGCGCAUUAGCUAGUGGGUGAGGUAACGGCUCACCAAGGCGACGAUGCGUAGCCGGCCUGGGAGGGUGACCGGCCACACUGGGACUGAGACACGGCCCAGACGCCUACGGGAGGCAGCAGUAGGGAAUCUUGCGCAAGGGGCGAAAGCCUGACGGAGCGACGCCGCGUGAGCGAAGAAGGCCGUCGGGUCGUAAAGCUCUGUUGUGAGGGACGAAGGAGCGUCGUUCGAAGAGGGCGGCGCGGUGACGGUACCUCACGAGAAAGCCCCGGCUAACUACGUG
rnacentral:rRNA from 1 species